CCGGUUCCGGUUCACGCCCGAGCCCGUCGCACGCCGCGACGGACACCGACGGCGACCCGGCGACC
rfam:Micromonospora echinofusca strain DSM 43913 genome assembly, chromosome: I